rnacentral:rRNA from 1 species
AGAGUGCUUGCACUCUGCUGACGACCGGCGCACGGGUGAGUAACGCGUAUAGAACCUACCUUUUACUGGAGAAUAACCAGGAGAAAUUCUGACUAAUACUCCAUAGUAUGUAUAAGUUACAUAGUUUAUACAUUAAAGAUUUAUUGGUAAAAGAUGGCUAUGCGUCCUAUUAGCUAGAUGGUGUGGUAACGGCACACCAUGGCAACGAUAGGUAGGGGCCCUGAGAGGGGGAUCCCCCACACUGGUACUGAGACACGGACCAGACUCCUACGGGAGGCAGCAGUGAGGAAUAUUGGACAAUGGAGGCAACUCUGAUCCAGCCAUGCCGCGUGCAGGAAGACUGCCCUAUGGGUUGUAAACUGCUUUUAUACAGGAAGAAACACUCCCUCGUGAGGGAGCUUGACGGUACUGUAAGAAUAGGGAUCGGCUAACUCCGUGCCAGCAGCCGCGGUAAUACGGAGGAUCCAAGCGUUAUCCGGAAUCAUUGGGUUUAAAGGGUCCGUAGGUGGAUAAUUA